CUUACUUUUUGUUUAGUUUCUCAGCAUAUAAAUCAAAUAAAUCUUAACUGUAAUGAUGCAAGAAUAAUUUGUUAUUUUCCCUAUUAUAGUCAUUAGUCAACCUUAUGUUUCUAUCUUAACGCUUACGAAUUUAAGGCAAUACAUAUGUGUUCAGUUUGGCAGAUACCAAAGUCCAAAAGAAGAUUAGUUGGGUUUUGAUUGCAAGAGAUAUUGAGGACGAUUUUGUAGCGAAUUCCAGCGUACACUGUGUGGAUUUUCUGAUUUCGCAAUCAAUUGAGAGCUGCAUUUAGUUCAGUUAGCCAAAAUGGUUUCUUUCGAGAUGAAUGACAGAAAAAGGUAGCAACAUUUUACUUUUUCUUGAUAUUUAGAUACUAAAAAUUGUGGUUAUUGACUAAUUAACAUCUUUAUUCGGAGUAUAUGUGAUUCAUAUGAUGUGAAUUAACUUUUUGCUAGACAUAUGUAUGCCACUUCAUACGACUUUGUAAAAGUUAAAUGUGAUUCUAUUACUAGCAUGAUUCUUUCUAUAUUAAACUUGAUACGAUUGUUGUGUUUGUCUUUUCCAUUUGUGUAGUUAUUAGAGUAAUUAGUUAAUUGAUCAUUAAGAAAAAUUUGUGCAAUCCUUCAUGAGGGUUGGGGGGAGUCUUGCCCAACAUUAUUUUUGAUCUCUUUAAUUAUCUAUGUACCUAGUUCCUUUUUCUUCAUGUUUUCCCUUCUAAUUACCAUUAGUAUAGUUUAGUUAUAUUCUUUAUAUGUUUGAUUGUCAUAGGUGUUCUUAAAAUUGUAAAUUAUGUGCUUUAUAUAUAUUCUCUUUGAUUUUAUAUAUUGGUGGUGAGAAGUUUUCUUUCCUUAUAUAUAUAUGUAAUAACCCUGUUUUAAGUGUGUUUAUUAAAUAUUAAUUAUAUUUAUUAAGUUAAUUAUAUUCCGAAAACUUUUAUUUUAUUUAAGUUGUGGAAUUUGUUUUAUAUUAUUGUCGUGUUUGUAAUGUAUUUAUUUAAUUAAUUUUAUGAAAUUAUUAUUAUUAUUAAAAUUAUUUUGGGUCUUAUGUGCGAGGAAAUUGUGCGGUAUUUGGUCAAAUAGGAAGUCAAAGUCAAUUUUUCCAUCAAUUCUUUUCCCCUUUGUCGGUUUAGUGAGAAACAAAAACCCACCAAAGUCAUUCUCUCAUUCCCGUGAAAACAAACCCCAACCCCCGUAAGAAAACCCACGAAACCCCAAAACCCAAAUACUCAAUCUCUCUCGUCCCCUGCUUCUUGCCUUGUCGGAAUCCGGUUGCUCGCCGGCGUUCUUGUUGCUCGCCGGAGUCCUCCUUUCCCUCUGUUCGUGUCGUUUCUGCCGGUGACGUUGUUGUUGCUGCUGUCCUGUUUUUCUCUCUCCUCUAUUGUGUUGUGCGUGUGGUGCUGCUCGCAAGCCACCUCACCACUGUUGUUGUUCGUCGCUGCUGUGUGUGCGGUGCUGCUCGCUAGCCACUGCGACCCUGUGUUUCUCUCUCCUCCCUCGAAACUCUUUUUCUCCUCUCGUUGAUUGUUGUUGCUGCUGUGUUUGUGGCGGUUGUACCGUCGUUCUGGUUUGGCCACCGCGAGUUAUAGCUCGUCGGACUUGCUGAUCCAUUAUUGCUCAUCGAUGCUCGUCGUUGUGCACCGAAGCUUCGAGACCCUCUGUGUUCUUGGCUCUCUUCUUCGCUGCUCACGCAGAGCAGAGGUACACAUCAAUUGUUUUCUUUUGUCUUGAAAUUUCAGAUUAUAGAAUUAGUGAUUCAAGCCUAAUUUAUAUUUAAAUUAUGAUUAGUAGUUUAAUUAAGGAAUAUAGUUUAAUUGAGAGGAGUUAUGGUGGUUCAUCUGGUGGUGGUUGUUGUUAGUUGCGCUAUUAUAUUGUGUUGUUGUUGCUGGGAUUGUUGGUGGUGGUGGUGAUGUGCCACGGUUGUUGAAUGUUGUAUUGUUUGUGUUAUUCUAUCAUUGUGGUUGUGGUGGAGUUGUGAAGUUGUUGCUUAUUGUUGUUGCGCUGUUGUUAUGGUUGGUGUAGUUCUGGUGGCUAUUGUGGAGUAGUUGUGAUGGUUGUGGUAGAAUUGUUAUGUUGUUGUUCAGUUGUUGUUUGUGAUGUUAUUAUGUUGUUGUCGUUGUUGUAUUGUUGUUGAUGUUUGGAAUGGUUGGUGGUGGUAAUGUGUUGUGGUGGUGGGGUUGUUGUGCCACUGCUGUUAGAUGGUGGUUGUCUGCAGUGGGUGUUAUUACGUUGUUAUUGAUGCGUUGCUGUUGUUGUGGCGGUUGUCGUUGUGGUGGUUGAUGUUGUUUUAUGAUAUUAUUCAGUCCUUCUUGUUGCUGCGGAGUUUAUUGGGGGGGUUUGUAACUACUAUUUGUUAUUGUUGUUGUCGUAUCGUUCUUAUUGGAUAGUCGUUGUUGAUGAUGCGAGCGAAGUCAUAAUCUUAGAAUUAGGAGUCUGUUAUAACUAUUGUAGUUGGAGUUGAUAUGUAUGAAGUCGAGUUAUGAGUUAUGGGAUUGACUUCGUUAAUUCCUAUUUACGGGAUUCAGUUUGAUUAGCAUAGUGGUUGCGUUAGAAGAAGUUAAUUAGAAUAGUUAAGAUUGUUUGUUGAUUAUUAUUAUUGUUAUGAGGUGAUUAUUGGAGGAUAACUAGGAAUGGAGUAUCAUUCGGAAUCAUGAAGGAGAUUGUAUUGUUGGAAUUGUUAUUCGGUUGGUUUAAGGACUUGAGUGCAAGAUAGAAAUCAGUUUAUCGAGGUUUAUUUAUGUGUCGAAUAGUUUUUAUAUUCUCAAUAUAUAUUUGUUUGUAGCCAAUUUAUGUUCUUGAUUUUGGUAAGGUUGUGAGUUAUGUUUAGUUGGUUUAGUUAUAUAAUUUAGCGUUAUGAUUAUGGAAUUGAGAUGUUGAAGGUUGAUAAUUUCUAAAUCGGGAAUUAGUUAUGAUUAUGUUUUCUAGUUCAGAUUAGUGUAUGUUUGGUUAUUGAUUAUUGAUGUUACUGUGAGGUGGUUGUUGGAGGAUGGCUAUGUAGACGUAUAUAAUUCAAGAUGAUAUGGGAAAUCAAGUUAUGAUGAUUGGAGGUUUCGUAUAAUUGUUAUAGAGUUAAGGUAACCUUUAUGUUCAGCAAAAUAUAUUUAAAUGCUCCUGUGUGCGUUAUACUAAAUUUUAGAUAUCAUAUAUCGUUUAUAGUAAUGGUCAUGAUUACAGAUGCAUCUCUAUGAGUUAGUUGUGAAUUGUUAUUGGAUUGUUAUAAAAGUAUCCUUUUGUUCAAUUAUUGGAAUUGUUCAAAAAUACUAUGUUUCUUGAAAUAUGAUUUGGUAUGAUAAUGAGGAAAUGAUUCAAAUAUGAGUUAAGACCAGAUAAGGUCGAAUAUGGUGUUAUGUUAUGAGUAUUGAGGAUUCAAGUAUGAAUCAUUAAAUAUCUUAUAUUAUAAAUAUGAAAGUGAGGCAUGAACAUGCACCCGAAUUAGGGCGGGUAGAGUCCCUAACUGUUGCCUUUCAGGAAGGGUGAAUUCCUAACGUUAUAGGACAUGUCCGGUUAAGUCUUGCAAGCAGAACGAUAAAAGGUGGGGUGACGACCCUCAACAGUUUGGAGACAGUUGGUACUGCGUGGUACCCCUCUCCAUUCGCGUUCAUGCCAAACGAUUUGAUUUUGUGAAACUAUAAUAACUGAGUUGAAUGUGAUUAUUUGUUAUCAUAACUAUGUGUUAGUUUUCAAAAUACACCUAAACUUGUAUUUUCUAUUACACAGUGUGUACUCAGCUUUGCUGAUUGGUUUGUCAUUUCUGUGGCCUGUCACAUGGUGGAUGGCAGAGUCAAACUUUGUUGCAGGUUUGGUGUUGUGAGCUCGGAAUUGGAAGUGAAGCAAGAUAAAGAUGUCGUCGUAGCUUAUGGAUUGAGUUUGUUUCUAGAUAGUGUAUUUGAGAACAGUUAUUCAUUGUUCCUUUGUAUAUAACUUUUGGGAAUUAUAGUUGAGUUAUUGGUGUAA